rnacentral:rRNA from 1 species
AGGACGAACGCUGGCGGCGUGCUUAACACAUGCAAGUCGAGCGGAAAGGCCCUUCGGGGUACUCGAGCGGCGAACGGGUGAGUAACACGUGAGCAACCUGCCCUUAGCUCCGGGAUAGCUCCGGGAAACCGGAAUUAAUACCGGAUACGACCACGGCCGACAUCUGCUGUGGUGGAAAGGAUUCCGGCUAAGGAUGGGCUCGCGGCCUAUCAGCUAGUUGGUGGAGUAACGGCCCACCAAGGCGACGACGGGUAGCCGGCCUGAGAGGGCGACCGGCCACACUGGGACUGAGACACGGCCCAGACUCCUACGGGAGGCAGCAGUGGGGAAUAUUGCGCAAUGGGCGAAAGCCUGACGCAGCGACGCCGCGUGGGGAUGAAGGCCGUUCGGGUUGUAAACCCUUUCAGCAGGGACGAUAGUGACGGUACCUGCAGAAGAAGCACCGGCCAACUACGCGCCAGCAGCCGC